UGUCCUGCACACUAAUCUUUGUUUCACAGUUUGCUUUCCAGGGAACCCAACAUGUUGCAGGACAAAUAUAAUCAUACCUCUAUAAAAUUGGCAAUGUGAGCAUUAAAUAAAAUGCAUUUUAAAUCACAUUACUUUUAAGAAAAAUGAUUUUAAAUUAUUGUUGUUGAAUUAAUCUAUGUAUGAUAUUAUAUUAUUACAAAUUAAAUUAUAAUCCAGGAAAAUAAGUUUGGAGUUGACAUAUGUAAAAUAUUUAAAUUAUAGUGGUAAGGGAUGAAGUCAUUAUUUGGUUUACCCGCCUCAAGAUAAGGCUCCAUCACUGUGUCAUCCCAAAGUUAUUUAAAUCAUAAUUACUAAAAAAUAUCUUCAAUAACUCAUUCAAAAAAUUGUACUGAGAGUCUAUUAUUUUCCAGACAUUACGCUAAUCCUCUUUUCUCAUGAAAAAAAUGUCCUUUCUACUAUGGGAAAGAGAUCGGUAACCAUAAUCCUGCCAUAUGCUUGGCUUACAUCUCUUGUCUCAAUAGCCCAUGUGGUUUAGUGUAUCUUGAUUUUCCAUAUUUUAAGGGGCUAUUUUUACUAAUAGUUUUCUUGAAAUAAAUUUGAGUGUUUUUGAUAGAAUUCUACUUUUUAUUUUUAGCAGAGUUUGAAUAAGUAGUGUGUGGGACACAUGCAUAGAAUGAUUUUCAAAUUAACAAGUGGUUAAAUCUCAAAAAUAAUCAGCAAGUUGCCUCCCUUUCCCAGACCCUUUUUUGAUAAAUCUUAACUAAUCUUUCAAUUUCACAAAUAGUAUAGAUCUGUGUUCUCUGAUAAAAAAAAUACUUAAUAUGGUAUGUCUUGUCAAUGAGUACUAUUCAACCAUAAAAAGUAAUAUAAGUGAUAUUAGUUACAACAUGAGUGAACCUUGAAAAUCCCCAAGCUCAGAGAAGCCAGUCACAUGAGAUCACAUAUUGCAUGACUAGAUUUUUAUAAAAUUUCCAGAGUAGGCAAAUAAAAAUAGAACUAAAUUGGUAGUUCCCUAGAACUGGCCCAGGGAAAGUGAUAGAGAAUGACUUGUAAUGAGCAUGGGUUUCUUCUGGAUCAUAGAAAUAUAAAAUUACAUUUUGGUGAUGAUUGUAAAACUCUGUGUUUACAAACUAUUGAAUACUAUAAUAUAAAUAGACUACUUUCACUGUAUUCAAAUUAUACCUCAAUAAAGAUGUUAGAAAAACGAAUUCUUUGAUAAGAGUGAUUUAGAGAUAACCAGCUUCUUGUGACCCUGGUGAUGGUGGGAGGAAUAUUGAACACUCCCACUCCUGGGUCAUUUGGUGAGGCAACUAAUUGUACCAGGGCUGUGUGGCUACCAGUUAAUAUGCAUGGUAAGAAAAAUGGAAGAUGACAGCUUAGGUUUGUGGGAAUUGUGUAUAGGAGAUAAAGACUUAACAGUCCUACUGUGGAAUGUGCAGAAGCAUCCUUAAAAAUGUUUUUAUUAUUCACAGUAUAAUUUAAUUUAACAACCAUUUACCCUUUCAGCAGCAAGUGUGUGUGUGUGUGUGUGUGUGUGUGUGUGUGUGUGUGUGUAUAUAUAUAUAUAUAUAUAUAUAUAUAUAUAUAUAUAUUUUAAAGAAAGUAUGCUGUUUUAGUCAGCUUUUUUGCUGCUGUGACUAAAAGACUUGACAAGAACAUCUUUAGAGGAGGAAAAUAUUAUUGAAGGCUCAGGAUUUCUCAGUGGUUGAGGUAAGGUUGAAUGUCAUGGUCGAAGAGUAUAAUGGAGGGAGGUAGCUCACAUGAUGAUCAGGCAGAAGAGAGAGAGACUCGCCAGAUAUAAGAUAUAUACCCUAAAGGCCCACUCCCAAUGACCCAUCUCUCCUAGCCACACCCUACCUGCUGCCAAUUAAAACUCAUUGACAGGAUUAAGUAUCUCAUAACUCAAUCAUCUCUCCUCUAAACCUUCUUGCAUUGUCUCACACAUAAGCAUUUGAGGGACACCUCACAUCCAAACCAUAAUAUACACAUAUAAUUAAAAACAUAAGAACUAUAAUUCCAUUUUUCAAGAAAAAUUGUGUAAACUCUGCAAAUAUUUAUUGACACUUAUUACUGCAAUUGAGUCUUUAGUGAUAGCAUUGACCAUAUGAAAAUUUAAAUGAUGCAUAUAAAUCAAAAACAUCACUGGCACCUACUUCAUACAUUAGCAGUUAUUUUUAAAAGUCUAUGCCUCAGAUGAUUUAAAAUGUGCAACAUCAUAAUGUAUAUUAACAUAUUUCAUUUUGAAGCCUAACUUUCAUUUAGAUCAAAUAAUCACUCUUCUGAAGGAAUUUGCCCAUUAUUUGUUUCAAGGGUUCUUGUGCAUGUAUAAGAUAGGAAACAAAUUACAUUGUUAUAUUACAUGCAUAUAUGAAUAUGUACCAACCAUUCCAAAUAUUAUGUAUAAUUAUAAUGCACCAAUCUAAAU
rnacentral:lncRNA from 1 species